AACGAACGCUGGCGGCAUGCCUAAUACAUGCAAGUCGAACGAUCACUUCGGUGGUAGUGGCGCACGGGUGCGUAACGCGUGGGAAUCUGCCCUUGGGUUCGGAAUAACGUCGGGAAACUGACGCUAAUACCGGAUGAUGACGUAAGUCCAAAGAUUUAUCGCCCAGGGAUGAGCCCGCGUAGGAUUAGCUGGUUGGUGGGGUAAAGGCCUACCAAGGCGACGAUCCUUAGCUGGUCUGAGAGGAUGAUCAGCCACACUGGGACUGAGACACGGCCCAGACUCCUACGGGAGGCAGCAGUAGGGAAUAUUGGACAAUGGGGGCAACCCUGAUCCAGCAAUGCCGCGUGAGUGAUGAAGGCCUUAGUGUUGUAAAGCUCUUUUACCCGGGAUGAUAAUGACAGUACCGGGAGAAUAAGCCCCGGCUAACUCCGUGCCAGCAGCCGCCGUAA
rnacentral:rRNA from 1 species